UGAUGCAGCGACGCCGCGUGAGGGAUGACGGCCUUCGGGUUGUAAACCUCUUUCAGUAGGGAAGAAGCGAAAGUGACGGUACCUGCAGAAGAAGCGCCGGCUAACUACGUGCCAGCAGCCGCGGUAAUACGUAGGGCGCAAGCGUUAUCCGGAAUUAUUGGGCGUAAAGAGCUCGUAGGCGGUUUGUCGCGUCUGCCGUGAAAGUCCGGGGCUCAACUCCGGAUCUGCGGUGGGUACGGGCAGACUAGAGUGAUGUAGGGGAGACUGGAAUUCCUGGUGUAGCGGUGAAAUGCGCAGAUAUCAGGAGGAACACCGAUGGCGAAGGCAGGUCUCUGGGCAUUAACUGACGCUGAGGAGCGAAAGCAUGGGGAGCGAACAGGAUUAGAUACCCUGGUAGUCCAUGCCGUAAACGUUGGGCACUAGGUGUGGGGGACAUUCCACGUUUUCCGCGCCGUAGCUAACGCAUUAAGUGCCCCGCCUGGGGAGUACGGCCGCAAGGCUAAAACUCAAAGGAAUUGACGGGGGCCCGCACAAGCGGCGGAGCAUGCGGAUUAAUUCGAUGCAACGCGAAGAACCUUACCAAGGCUUGACAUGGACCGGAUCGCCGCAGAAAUGUGGUUUCUCCUUUGGGGCCGGUUCACAGGUGGUGCAUGGUUGUCGUCAGCUCGUGUCGUGAGAUGUUGGGUUAAGUCCCGCAACGAGCGCAACCCUCGUUCCAUGUUGCCAGCACGUAGUGGUGGGGACUCAUGGGAGACUGCCGGGGUCAACUCGGAGGAAGGUGGGGACGACGUCAAAUCAUCAUGCCCCUUAUGUCUUGGGCUUCACGCAUGCUACAAUGGCCGGUACAAAGGGUUGCGAUACUGUGAGGUGGAGCUAAUCCCAAAAAGCCGGUCUCAGUUCGGAUUGGGGUCUGCAACUCGACCCCAUGAAGUCGGAGUCGCUAGUAAUCGCAGAUCAGCAACGCUGCGGUGAAUACGUUCCCGGGCCUUGUACACACCGCCCGUCAAGUCACGAAAGUUGGUAACACCCGAAGCCGGUGGCCUAACCCCUUGUGGGAGGGAGCCGUCGAAG
rnacentral:rRNA from 1 species